GUCGCGAUGCCAGAGUGGUUAAUGGGUAAGACUUGAAUUCAGCAUUCAGUCAUCUUAUGGUUUCGGCCUCGUAGGUUCAAAUCCUGCUCGCGACG